GACGAACGCUGGCGGCGUGCUUAACACAUGCAAGUCGAACGAAGAGCGACGGAAGCUUGCUUCUAUCAAUCUUAGUGGCGAACGGGUGAGUAACGCGUAAUCAACCUGCCCUUCAGAGGGGGACAACAGUUGGAAACGACUGCUAAUACCGCAUACGAUCUAGUCUCGGCAUCGAGGAUGGAUGAAAGGUGGCCUCUACAUGUAAGCUAUCACUGAAGGAGGGGAUUGCGUCUGAUUAGCUAGUUGGAGGGGUAACGGCCCACCAAGGCGAUGAUCAGUAGCCGGUCUGAGAGGAUGAACGGCCACAUUGGGACUGAGACACGGCCCAGACUCCUACGGGAGGCAGCAGUGGGGAAUCUUCCGCAAUGGACGAAAGUCUGACGGAGCAACGCCGCGUGAGUGAUGACGGCCUUCGGGUUGUAAAGCUCUGUUAAUCGGGACGAAAGGCCUUCUUGCGAAUAGGGAGAAGGAUUGACGGUACCGGAAUAGAAAGCCACGGCUAACUACGUG
rnacentral:rRNA from 1 species